rnacentral:misc_RNA from 1 species
UGCACAAGUGGGCAAAACCUUGUUAUCUUCACAAAUGUUUAGCCCUCCAGUCCAUAGUAAGAUUCUCGUCGCUGUCAUCAUCACUUGAUGAUUCGUCAUCACUAGACUCCUUAUUUGCAACCUUACUUUCUUUGCUGCCUAACAAAGACUUAGCAGCCUUUACUUCCAUCUUCUUCUUCCUCAGCAUCUCAAGUCUUUCUCUAUAGCCCCUUUGUUCAACAGAUACUUCCUCUUCAAUCAUUUCUGCAGCAUCAAUCUCUUCUUCUUCUAAUCGGUUGUCAACUUCUUUUAAGUCUUCUUGGAUUAACUUCUCAAAUUCUUUGUACUCAUCCUUGACAUCUGGUUUGACCGGUGUAAUACCACGGGCACG